rnacentral:rRNA from 1 species
GACGAACGCUGGCGGCGUGCUUAACACAUGCAAGUCGAACGGUGAAGCUCCAGCUUGCUGGAGUGGAUCAGUGGCGAACGGGUGAGUAACACGUGAGCAACCUGCCCCUGACUCUGGAAUAAGCGCUGGAAACGGCGUCUAAUACUGGAUACGAGAAGGGUCCGCAUGGGCACUUUCUGGAAAGUUUUUCGGUUGGGGAUGGGCUCGCGGCCUAUCAGCUUGUUGGUGAGGUAAUGGCUCACCAAGGCGACGACAGGUAGCCGGCCUGAGAGGGCGACCGGCCACACUGGGACUGAGACACGGCCCAGACUCCUACGGGAGGCAGCAGUGGGGAAUAUUGCACAAUGGGCGAAAGCCUGAUGCAGCGACGCCGCGUGAGGGAUGACGGCCUUCGGGUUGUAAACCUCCUUCAGCAGGGAAGAAGCGAAAGUGACGGUACCUGCAGAAGAAGCACCGGCUAACUACGUG